GUGCUGUGCUGGCAGGGCGCCUGUNCAGUUGACUUUUAAUCAAUUGGUCGCAGGUUCGAAUCCUGCACGACCCACCA
rnacentral:tRNA from 1 species